CUCGGGGUCAGCUCCAGCCGGGCCUCGGGAACCUGGACAGACCCCCACCUUGGGCUCAUCAGGCUCCGGAGUCUGGGAACCCCCUCCGGUUCCAGGUGCUGAAGGGGCCAGUCUGAGCAUCUUCCCGCAGAGGGGAGGCUGCUUUCCUUUCUAUUACCCUCCCUCUCCCCGCCACCUUCCCCUAAACCCAAAGCCUGAGUUUAACUCAGUCCCUGGGAGCCUUAGUCUCUAGUACCUGGAUUUUCUCACGGAGAGACACGGAUCCUAUGGGAAUUCCUUCCAGAUGAAGGUGACAGAGUUCAGGAGGGGAAGUGGACAGAGGGAGAAUCAUCUGGCCUUUAAGGCAGCUAAAGUCUCCAGCCCUGCCUGACUUGGAUAGAGGCUUGUAGAGGAAGGAAACCUGAAAAACACUGCCAUUGGUGCAGCUUUGAAUCAAGGAAAAAGUGACCCUGGAAAGACAAAGGAUCCAAUUCUUGUCUCUUUUCUAACCUUGCUGCUGAAAUUAGUUUGGUAAAGUUCUUGACAAUUCAUAA